AGAGUUUGAUCCUGGCUCAGAAUGAACGCUAGCGGCGUGGAUUAGGCAUGCAAGUCGAACGAGAACGCACCUUCGGGUGUUAGUAAAGUGGCGAACGGGUGAGUAAUGCGUAAAUGAUCUACCCUUAUGACGGGGAUAACAGUUCGAAAGGACUGCUAAUACCGGAUGUGGUCCGUUGAUUUCGGUUAACGGAUUAAAGAUAGCCUCUGUUUCAAGCUGUCGCAUGAGGAGGAGUUUACGUGCUAUUAGCUAGUUGGUGGGGUAAUGGCCUACCAAGGCAAUGAUGGCUAGCCGGCCUGAGAGGGUGUCCGGCCACACUGGGACUGAGACACUGCCCAGACUCCUACGGGAGGCUGCAGUCGAGAAUCUUCCACUAAUGCGGGAAACCGUGAUGGAGCGACGCCGCGUGUGCGAUGAAGGCCCUCGGGUUGUAAAGCACUGUCAGUUGGAUCUAAUCCCGUAGAGUUAAUAGCUCUUACGGUUGAAGGGCCAGCAGAGGAAGCACCGGCUAAAUCCGUGCCAGCAGCCGCGGUAAUACGGAUGGUGCAAGCGUUAUUCGGAAUCACUGGGCAUAAAGAGCACGUAGGCGGUCGCGUCAGUCAGUGGUGAAAUCCCUCGGCUCAACCGGGGAACUGCCAUUGAUACUGCGAGACUAGAGUGCGGGAGGGGUAGACGGAAUUCCAAGUGGAGCGGUGAAAU
rnacentral:rRNA from 1 species